rnacentral:ncRNA from 1 species
UAGGACACCAGCCACAUCCGCCGCGAGGCGGAGCCGGAAAGCCACGGGUCUUGGACGACAAGACGGCCGGGUUGCCUUC